UCAUGAAAAAGUGCAUCAUUGGUCCUCAAUUUCUUAUCCCCUCUUGAGCAGCACCGUUUUCCAUGUAACUUUGCAGUGCUGUGGGUGGGCAGCAUGUCCUGCCCCUUGGCAGAAAGCAGAUGGCUCCCCCAUAUGACUUGCUUCGGGCAGUGGGGUGUCAGCAGACGUGACGCUUCUGUGACGCACUUGGGCUGGCUCUUGCCUCUUACCACUGCGGUGAGAACGUGGCUGGACAGCCUUCGGGAGAUGAGAGACACACGGAGCAGAGCCAAGUUUCUCCUAUCACCCCAUCCAGCUCAGCUACAUCAGCCAAGGUCAGCCUACAUCAGCCAGCAACUGUGGAACCCCACAGACAUGGCUGUGAAGAAUGGGGGGGAAAUAUGCUUGUGA
rnacentral:lncRNA from 13 species